UACGUAGGGUGCGAGCGUUAAUCGGAAUUACUGGGCGUAAAGCGUGCGUAGGCGGGUCUUUAAGUCAGGGGUGAAAUCCUGGAGCUCAACUCCAGAACUGCCUUUGAUACUGAGGAUCUUGAGUUCGGGAGAGGUGAGUGGAACUGCGAGUGUAGAGGUGAAAUUCGUAGAUAUUCGCAAGAACACCAGUGGCGAAGGCGGCUCACUGGCCCGAUACUGACGCUGAGGCACGAAAGCGUGGGGAGCAAACAGG
rnacentral:rRNA from 1 species